CCGCAUCGAGAUGGGCCCGCGGCCCAUUAGCUUGUUGGUGAGGUAAAGGCUCACCAAGGCUGCGAUGGGUAGCUGGUCUGAGAGGACGAUCAGCCACACUGGGACUGAGACACGGCCCAG
rnacentral:rRNA from 1 species